UGUAGAAACAGCUGGUCAACGCUAUUAUUUGCAAACACUAUGAGCGGUGAAACACCAGAAAAACGUGCAAAAUAUGAGCGGACGACGCAGGAGCAGCUGCAAUUUUAUGUGCAGUUUUGUAGGGAGCAUCCGGAGCUGC